rnacentral:rRNA from 1 species
CCUGCNGUCGACGAUUCCUACGGGAGGCAGCAGCAGGGAAUAUUGCACAAUGGGCGAAAGCCUGAUGCAGCGACGCCGCGUGCGGGAUGAAGGCCUUCGGGUUGUAAACCGCUUUCAGGAGGGACGAAAAUGACGGUACCUCCAGAAGAAGCCCCGGCCAACUACGUGCCAGCAGCCGCGGUAACACGUAGGGGGCGAACGUUGUCCGGAUUUAUUGGGCGUAAAGGGCUCGUAGGCGGUUUAGCAAGUCGGUCGUGAAAGCCCGGGGCUCAACCCCGGGACGCCGGUCGAAACUGCUAUGACUAGGGUCCGGUAGAGGUGAGUGGAAUUCUCGGUGUAGCGGUGAAAUGCGCAGAUAUCGAGAGGAACACCAGUAGCGAAGGCGGCUCACUGGGCCGGUACCGACGCUGAGGAGCGAAAGCGUGGGGAGCAAACAGGAUUAGAUACCCUGGUAGUCCACGCCGUAAACGUUGAACACUAGGUGUGGGGGACUUAUCCACGUCCUCCGUGCCGCAGCUAACGCAUUAAGUGUUCCGCCUGGGGAGUACGGCCGCAAGGCUAAAACUCAAAUGAAUUGACGG